UUGUAUUCCCGACACUGGGAAACUGAGCUACUUAAAGGGAAGUCGCGUUUGUCCAGCCUGUCUCGCAAAUCGCGUGCUACAGCCUCGUGGCCACUGCUGCUGUCCUAUGUUCGACGCGACUUUCUGCAGAUUCUCGUCUUUGAUCUACGACUUUGCCACUCGCCAACCGUUCGUUCUGUCAGAUAUAUAGCAGAUGUCUAUGGCAGUUAAUAGUCCCUUUAGGUCAACCCCCUGAACCCUCAUUUGCUCAAUCGAACAAUAAAACAUAGACGCGACAUUCUGGCAUAAAUACGCCUACAACCACUCACUAUUAUGCCGAUAAAUGUCGCACUGAGAAUGCAAAGCAGAACUGACGUUCAGGUAGCGAAACGAAUGGUCGUGCCCCAAUAACGAAAUGGAUACUGUCGACGGUAGCGUUUGUUGUUGCAACAGGCCAGGGGAACGUUGACACAGGAAUUACCGAAGGGUCAGACGAGAAAUAUCAAUGAGAAGGCAUGAUCUGAUAUCUGCGGCCUAAUUAGUUAACCUGCCCCGACACAAUGGUAACCGCAAGAUCGCUGAGAAGCUCUUUUGUGUCCUGGUUCUUCAUUUGCUUAAAGAUUUCAUGAAAAGCAAACAACCGGAUGCCAUAAAUUCAUCGGAAUGAUCUGAACUAACCGGUACUCGUUUUAUCCAAACGCCUUUACGGGUCUGUGAGAUAAUUCGCGCACACGCGUCCAGUGCCAUCGGGGCACCGACUGAUGUGAUCGCUUCUAGUAAUAUGAAAGUGACGUGGAAUCAUCUUCACCAGCGCGGUAUGAUUUCCGGACUAACCGUCGUCAAAUGAUUUACCAAUAUGGUCGAUAAUAUUGAAAUUCGUAUUGUAUAAUACACGGAAAAAAUAAAGUAAAUAAUU